CUGGGGCUGGGGCUCAGUGUUAGAGCACUUGCCUAGCAUGUGCAAGGCAGUGGGUUCAAUUCUCAGCUCCACA
rnacentral:tRNA from 1 species